GAGAAAUUGGUGAUUCGCUGCCCUUACGAAAUGAACUAUUAUUACGUUUCGUUUUAGAAUUUUAGAAUAUUAAUCACAUUUGGAAUGUUUCAUUAUUUAUCCAAACUCCUCAACAGUACGUACCUAAAAUGGAAAACGGUCCAAAGAUCCAUACUGUCCAUAGUUACAGUGACCUACAGGUCCAAGUUAAAAUGGCAUGCAAGGUUGGAACUGCUGACCAGUUCAAGGCCAAGGUCCUCUGGAAGUCUGUCCUGUGUGCUGACCCUAGAAACCCUUCUGCAAUCAGGAUGAUCCUGAGAAGGAUUGGUUGUUCAGGCUCAUGUCAAAAAACUGAUAUGGCAUCUGAGCUGAUCCAGCAGGCUUUGCCAUCCCAGAAUGCCGUGCAGCAGAAGGAGGCCAUCACCAAACCAUGUCAGGUGUCCUCCUUCCUUUCCUGGAAGCGGAUGAGGGAUAGCCUUGAUCAGGAACUGAAACAGUCCAACCACAAGAGGCCAAAACUGGUGGUCAAGGGCCCCAGCAGCACUCUCCCUCAGAAGCAGCAGCAACAGAGGAACAAGCCCACUGGUACAUCAAUUCAGGCAUCUGGCAGCAGGGGGCGCAAGAGAGCAGCAAGCCAGGAUGAAUAACGAGAAGCCCUCCUAUAC
ensembl:lncRNA